rnacentral:rRNA from 1 species
CUCCUACGGGAGGCAGCAGUGGGGAAUAUUGGACAAUGGGGGCAACCCUGAUCCAGCAAUGCCGCGUGUGUGAAGAAGGCCUUCGGGUUGUAAAGCACUUUUAUCCGGAACGAAACGUGCGGGGUGAAUAGCCUCGUAAACUGACGGUACCGGAGGAAUAAGCACCGGCUAACUUCGUGCCAGCAGCCGCGGUAAUACGAAGGGUGCAAGCGUUACUCGGAAUUACUGGGCGUAAAGGGUGCGUAGGUGGUUUUUUAAGUCUGCUGUGAAAUCCCCGGGCUCAACCUGGGAAUGGCAGUGGAUACUGGAAAGCUGGAGUGCGGUAGAGGGUAGUGGAAUUCCCGGUGUAGCAGUGAAAUGCGUAGAGAUCGGGAGGAACACCAGUGGCGAAGGCGGCUACCUGGACCAGCACUGACACUGAGGCACGAAAGCGUGGGGAGCAAACAGGAUUAGAUACCCUGGUAGUUCACGCCCUAAACGAUGCGAACUGGAUGUUGGGUGCAACUUGGCACUCAGUAUCGAAGCUAACGCGUUAA